rfam:Ralstonia eutropha H16 chromosome 1
AUGCCGAACUCUGGAGAGCGGCACCCGCCAUUCGUGGCGAGCGUGCCCACCGAAGGGGCGCACGAGGACGGGGUCCGGCAGGAUCCGCCUUGUAAUCUCUCAGGUAUCGAGGACAGAGGGGUCAUC